GGACUACCAGGGUUUCUAAUCCCGUUUGCUCCCCUGGCUUUCGCGCCUCAGCGUCAGUGGGGACCCAGCGGACCGCUUUCGCCACCGGCGUUCCUUCCGAUAUCAACGCAUUUCACCGCUCCACCGGAAGUUCCGUCCGCCCCUAUCCCCCUCGAGCUUCGCAGUAUCGGGGGCACUUUUCCGGUUGAGCCGAAAGAUUUCACCCCCGACUUUCAAAGCCGCCUACGCGCCCUUUAAGCCCAGUGAUUCCGAACAACGUUCGCACGGUUCGUCUUACCGCGGCUGCUGGCAC
rnacentral:rRNA from 1 species